rnacentral:snoRNA from 1 species
AUACAAUGAUGAUAACAUAGUUCAGCAGACUAAAAGUGAUGAAUAGUGCUAAGUCUUUCGCUCCUAUCUGAUGUAUCU